CUGUCCUUCUUUCUUUCUUUCUUUCUUUCUUUCUUUCUUUCUGUCUUUCUUUCUUUCUUUCUUUCUUUCUUUCUUUCUUUCUUUCUUUCUUUCUUUCUUUCUUUCUUUCUUUCUCUUCCUUUCUUCCUUUCUUCUUUCUUUCUUUCUUUCUCUUUCUUCCUUCUUUCUUUCUUUCUCUUCCUUCCUUCUUUCCUAUCUUCACCCCCCUCCACCCCACCUCUCUCCUAUCUCUUUUUGUCUGUCUCAUCCAGGCUGAAAGUACAAUAACCAUAGGACUAAUCCCCAUAGUGAUCAGCAAAGAAGCUUUAACUUGCUUCAUUUUUUUCUAUCUAGGCAAAUUUAUUCCUCCUUAAACAGCCUGAUGGUUCUCUGUUUCCAAAGUUUUACUAUGUGGUACCAGAUUUAAC
rnacentral:lncRNA from 1 species